GAUGAACGCUGGCGGCGUGCCUAAUACAUGCAAGUCGAGCGAACAGACGAGGAGCUUGCUCCUCUGACGUUAGCGGCGGACGGGUGAGUAACACGUGGAUAACCUACCUAUAAGACUGGGAUAACUUCGGGAAACCGGAGCUAAUACCGGAUAAUAUAUUGAACCGCAUGGUUCAAUAGUGAAAGACGGUUUUGCUGUCACUUAUAGAUGGAUCCGCGCCGCAUUAGCUAGUUGGUAAGGUAACGGCUUACCAAGGCGACGAUGCGUAGCCGACCUGAGAGGGAGGACGCCCACCAGGCACGAGGGACACUCUCACGCCUCCUGGGGGCGCCACCAUGGGGAAUUUGUCCGCAAUGGGGGAAGACUUAAGGAAGCACGGCGGAGUGAUGAUGGAGGGUUUUGGGUCCGAAAAACUCUUUUUGGGGGGAAAAAAAAAUGUUAAAUUACUUAAGCCCGUUUGCCGGGUCCCUAUCAAAAAGGCCACGACUAUCUCCGGC
rnacentral:rRNA from 1 species